AACGUCACCUCUAAAGGUCUUAAACCAGUUUUAACGUCACCUUUAAAGGUUUUAAACCAGUUUUAACGUCACCUUUAAAGGUUUUAAACCAGUUUUAACGUCACCUUUAAAGGUUUUAAACCAGUUUUAACGUCACCUUUAAAGGUUUUAAACCUGUUUUAACGUCACCUUUAAAG